rnacentral:rRNA from 1 species
GUGGGGAAUCUUCCACAAUGGACGAAAGUCUGAUGGAGCAACGCCGCGUGAGUGAAGAAGGGUUUCGGCUCGUAAAGCUCUGUUGUCGGGGACGAAUGUGCAGUAUUUGAAUAAAGUACUGUAAUGACGGUACCUGACGAGGAAGCCACGGCUAACUACGUGCCAGCAGCCGCGGUAAUACGUAGGUGGCAAGCGUUGUCCGGAAUUAUUGGGCGUAAAGGGAGCGCAGGCGGGAAGGUAAGUCGGUCUUAAAAGUGCGGGGCUCAACCCCGUGAUGGGAUCGAAACUAUCUUUCUUGAGUGCAGGAGAGGAAAGUGGAAUUCCUAGUGUAGCGGUGAAAUGCGUAGAGAUUUGGAAGAACACCAGUGGCGAAGGCGACUUUCUGGACGAUGUCUGACGCUGAGGCGCGAAAGCUAGGGGAGCGAACGGGAUUAGAUACCCUAGUAGUCC